rnacentral:rRNA from 1 species
AACGUAGGUGGCGAGCGUUAUCCGGAAUUACUGGGCGUAAAGCGUGUGCAGGCGGGUCUGCAAGUGGGGUGUGAAAGCUCCCGGCUCAACCGGGAAGGGUUAUGCCAGACUGCUAGUCUUGAGUGCGAGAGAGGAGCGUGGAAUUCCUGGUGUAGCGGUGAAAUGCGCAGAUAUCAGGAGGAAUACCGAUGGCGAAGGCAGCCCCCUGGGUCGAUACUGACGCUCAUGCACGAAAGCGUGGGGAGCAAACAGG